rnacentral:rRNA from 1 species
GGGUUGUGAGGUUAAGCGACUAAGCGUACACGGUGGAUGCCCUGGCAGUCAGAGGCGAUGAAGGACGUGCUAAUCUGCGAUAAGCGUCGGUAAGGUGAUAUGAACCGUUAUAACCGGCGAUUUCCGAAUGGGGAAACCCAGUGUGUUUCGACACACUAUCAUUAACUGAAUCCAUAGGUUAAUGAGGCGAACCGGGGGAACUGAAACAUCUAAGUACCCCGAGGAAAAGAAAUCAACCGAGAUUCCCCCAGUAGCGGCGAGCGAACGGGGAGCAGCCCAGAGCCUGAAUCAGUGUGUGUGUUAGUGGAAGCGUCUGGAAAGGCGUGCGAUACAGGGUGACAGCCCCGUACACAAAAAUGCACAUGCUGUGAGCUCGAUGAGUAGGGCGGGACACGUGGUAUCCUGUCUGAAUAUGGGGGGACCAUCCUCCAAGGCUAAAUACUCCUGACUGACCGAUAGUGAACCAGUACCGUGAGGGAAAGGCGAAAAGAACCCCGGCGAGGGGAGUGAAAAAGAACCUGAAACCGUGUACGUACAAGCAGUGGGAGCACGCUUAGGCGUGUGACUGCGUACCUUUUGUAUAAUGGGUCAGCGACUUAUAUUCUGUAGCAAGGUUAACCGAAUAGGGGAGCCGAAGGGAAACCGAGUCUUAACUGGGCGUUAAGUUGCAGGGUAUAGACCCGAAACCCGGUGAUCUAGCCAUGGGCAGGUUGAAGGUUGGGUAACACUAACUGGAGGACCGAACCGACUAAUGUUGAAAAAUUAGCGGAUGACUUGUGGCUGGGGGUGAAAGGCCAAUCAAACCGGGAGAUAGCUGGUUCUCCCCGAAAGCUAUUUAGGUAGCGCCUCGUGAAUUCAUCUCCGGGGGUAGAGCACUGUUUCGGCAAGGGGGUCAUCCCGACUUACCAACCCGAUGCAAACUGCGAAUACCGGAGAAUGUUAUCACGGGAGACACACGGCGGGUGCUAACGUCCGUCGUGAAGAGGGAAACAACCCAGACCGCCAGCUAAGGUCCCAAAGUCAUGGUUAAGUGGGAAACGAUGUGGGAAGGCCCAGACAGCCAGGAUGUUGGCUUAGAAGCAGCCAUCAUU